UGCUCAGGGGAGGGAAUCGAACCCACAACCUUCUGCUUACCGGGCAGGUGCCAUGUCCACUAGGCUACCCUGGAC